rnacentral:rRNA from 1 species
GACGAACGCUGGCGGCGUGCCUAACACAUGCAAGUCGAGCGAUGAAACCCUUCGGGGUGGAUUAGCGGCGGACGGGUGAGUAACACGUGGGUAACCUGCCUCAUAGAGGGGGAUAGCCUCCCGAAAGGGAGAUUAAUACCGCAUAAUGUAUUUUGUUCGCAUGAAUAAAAUAUCAAAGGGGUGAUCCACUAUGAGAUGGACCCGCGGCGCAUUAGCUAGUUGGUGAGGUAACGGCUCACCAAGGCGACGAUGCGUAGCCGACCUGAGAGGGUGAUCGGCCACCAUGGAACUGAGAAACGGACCAGACUCCUACGGGAGGCAGCAGUUGGGAAUAUUGCGCAAUGGGGGAAAACCUGACGCAGCAACGCCGCGUGAAUGAUGAAGGCCUUAGGGUUGUAAAGUUCUGUCUUCUGGGACGAUAAUGACGGUACCAGAGGAGGAAGCCACGGCUAACUACGUGCCAGCAGCCGCGGUAA